AUCUUUCUAGUAUAGUAAAGUACACGUGACUUCCAAUUACCUGGGCCUGGUUAAAAUCCAGGGAAAGAAA
ensembl:Mt_tRNA